CCCUUAGAUGUCCUGGGCCGCACGCGCGCUACACUGACAUGUUCAACAAGCCUCCUAGUUCGACAGGAUUUGGGAAAUCUUUGAACGCAUGUCGUGAUAGGGAUAGAUCAUUGCAAUUAUUGAUCUUGAACGAGGAAUUCCUAGUAAACGCGAGUCAUCAGCUCGCAUUGAUUACGUCCCUGCCCUUUGUACACACCGCCCGUCGCACCUACCGAUUGAAUGUUUCGGUGAAGAUUCCGGAUAGGACUUUUUUGAUUUAUUUCAAUUUUGUCUUAAAAGCUAUCUAAACCUCAACAGUUAGAGGAAGGUGAAGUCGUAACA
rnacentral:rRNA from 1 species